CAGGUCCUGUGCCCCUUCCCAGU
rnacentral:miRNA from 1 species